GGCAGUGGUGGUCUAGUGGUUAAGACGCUGGGCUUCUGAGCAGAAGGUUGUGGGUUCAAACCCCAGCACUGCCA